UACGGAGGAUCCAAGCGUUAUCCGGAUUUAUUGGGUUUAAAGGGUGCGUAGGUGGUUUAUUAAGUCAGGGGUGAAAGACGGCAGCUUAACUGUCGCAGUGCCUAUGAUACUGAUGAACUUGAAUGAACUAGAGGUAGGCGGAAUGUGACAAGUAGCGGUGAAAUGCAUAGAUAUGUCACAGAACACCAAUUGCGAAGGCAGCUUACUAUGGUUUUAUUGACACUGAGGCACGAAAGCGUGGGGAUCAAACAGG
rnacentral:rRNA from 1 species